GAUGAACGCUGGCGGCAUGCCUAAUACAUGCAAGUCGAGCGAACAGAUGAGGAGCUUGCUCCUCUGACGUUAGCGGCGGACAGGUGAGUAAAACGUGGAUAACCUACCUAUAAGACUGGGAUAACUUCGGGAAACCGGAGCUAAUACCGGAUAAUAUAUUUAACCGCAUGGUUCAAUAGUGAAAGACGGUUUUGCUGUCACUUAUAGAUGGAUCCGCGCCGCAUUAGCUAGUUGGUAAGGUAACGGCUUACCAAGGCAACGAUGCGUAGCCGACCUGAGAGGGGGAUCGGCCCAAUUGGAACUGAGAACCGGUCCAGACUCCUACGGGAGGCAGCAGUAGGGAAUCUUCCGCAACGGGCGAAAGCCUGACGGAGCAACGCCGCGUGAGUGAUGAAGGUCUUCGGAUCGUAAAACUCUGUUAUUAGGGAAGAACAAAUGUGUAAGUAACUAUGCACGUCUUGACGGUACCUAAUCAGAAAGCCACGGCUAACUACGUG
rnacentral:rRNA from 1 species